UCCCGCCGGACCUGACUGCUAUCGGAUUGAUACUAAGCCAUGCGAGUCUUUGUAGUAAUACAAGGCAGACGGCUCAGUAACACGUAGUCAACCUACCCUAUGGACAAGAAUAAUCUCGGGAAACUGGGCAUAAUUCUUGAUAGAUCAUAAUGCCUGGAAUGGUUUAUGGUUAAAAUGAUUCGUCGCCAUAGGAUGGGACUGCGGCCUAUCAGCUUGUUGGUGAGGUAAUGGCCCACCAAGGCGAUUACAGGUACGGGCUCUGAGAGGAGAAGCCCGGAGAUGGGUACUGAGACACGGACCCAGGCCCUAUGGGGCGCAGCAGGCGAGAAAACUUUGCAAUGUGCGAAAGCACGACAAGGUUAAUCCGAGUGAUUUCUGCUAAAGAAAUCUUUUGCCAGUCGUAAAACCGCUGGUGAAUAAGGGGUGGGCAAGUUCUGGUGUCAGCCGCCGCGGUAAAACCAGCACCUCAAGUGGUCAGGAUGAUUAUUGGGCCUAAAGCAUCCGUAGCCUGCUCUGUAAGUUUUCGGUUAAAUCUGUAUGCUCAACAUACAGGCCGCCGGAAAUACUGCAGGGCUAGGGAGUGGGAGAGGUAGACGGUACUCGGGAGGAAGUGGUAAAAUGCUUUGAUCUUUCGAUGACCACCUGUGGCGAAGGCGGUCUACCAGAACACGUCCGACGGUGAGGGAUGAAAGCUGGGGGAGCAAACCGGAUUAGAUACCCGGGUAGUCCCAGCCGUAAACUAUGCAAACUCGAUGAUGCAUUGGCAUAAUAGCCAGUGCAGUGUCGCAGGGAAGCCGUUAAGUCUGCCGCCUGGGAAGUACGUACGCAAGUAUGAAACUUAA
rnacentral:rRNA from 1 species